rnacentral:lncRNA from 1 species
GUGGGAAGAAGCUAAGACUUAGCAGUGGCUAAUGGAGAGCUGUGAUGAGGUGGGAAUUAGGAGUGGGAAUGUCAUCACACCAAAUGGGAUCCCUUGUAUUUAUGUGAACAUUUUCAAACUACUAUGCCCUUAUUUUCUCAUUUCAUUCUCCCGUGGCUGAAAACUACACUGGAUAUGACCCAGUUUCCUGGAGACCUAUAGACAAAUUUGACCCCUGUUAUUAUACAUCUUACAGGAGACCCAGGCUUGCCUGUCCAUUUUGACAGAUGGGCAUGAGGUCCUGCUGGCAGACUGGCAGACAGAGCAGACAACAGUUUUUCAUAUGUGACUGUGGGGAGGCUUCCCUCAAACCCAGUCCUGGGAAAUUCAGGCCGAACACAACUCACUCUGUCGGGUGCACAGCAUCAAGGAGCCCUUUUGGGUCUCACGAUGUUCUGAACUAGUUUUCUUCAGCCUCCUUCCCAAGCUACCCCAUGCUUUCAUUUCCUUACCUGUUUAGGAUUUCAUCUUCCCUGAAGUGUUUUAAGUUUUACAUCAACACAAAGAAAACCUGCACCCAUUUAGCCUGUGAUGUCUGCCUCCCCAGUAUACCCAGCUUCCCAAUGUGUCAAUCUUUUGCCUCGGAGGACUUGACAGUGAUUCCUAAUCUUAAGAAGAGCCCUCCACGUCUGCGUCUAUUCAGUUUCCACUGUGCCUGUAUCCUCUUGUAUAUCUUCUCAACCCACCCUCUGAGGUGA